UUUGUCUUUAUGGCAAUGUGAGAUGCAGUGUAUGGAGUGUCAAAUUUCUAGUAUGASMMMUUAACGAUUUAAGUCCUUCUUAAAUGAGGCCAUUUACCCAUAGAGGGUGCCAGGCCCGUAUAACGCUAAUGAUUACUAGAUGACAUUUCCAAAGAGUCGUGUUGCUUGAUAGUGCAGCACUAAGUGGGUGGUAAACUCCAUCUAAAACUAAAUAUAACCAUGAGACCGAUAGUAAACAAGUACCGUGAGGGAAAGUUGAAAAGAACUCUGAAUAGAGAGUUAAAUAGUACGUGAAACUGCUUAGAGGUUAAGCCCGAUGAACCUGAAUAUCCGUAAUAGAAAAUUCAUCAUUAUGAUUUUAAUAUAUUAUAAUAAUGGUGUGCAUUUUUUCUAUAAAGGACAUUGUAAUCUAUUAAUAUUAAAUAUUUAUCAUAAGAUCUCAGCGUAAGUUUAUUCAAAUUAUUUUGCUUGCAAUUUAAUAUAGAAUAAAUGCAAUUGGAUUUGAUAAAGUAUUGAUAGUUUUAAUAUAGUGCUUAAAUAUUAUUUUAUAAUGGCAUAUUAAUCAUUGAUUUUUAUGUUUAUUAUAUGCACUUAUAUGAUUAACAAUGCGAAAGAUUCAGGAUACCUUCGGGACCCGUCUUGAAACACGGACCAAGGAGUCUAACAUAUAUGCAAGUUAUUGGGUCAAACCUAAUAGCAAAAUUAACAUAACAAAAUGGGAUUAGUUUUUAGGUCUAUUAAUUCAAUCCCGGGGCGUUCUAUACAGUUAUGUAUAAUAAUAUUUAUAUUAUUUAUACCUCUAACUAGAGCGUACCUUGAGCAUAUAUGCUGUGACCCGAAAGAUGGUGAACUAUACUUGAUCAGGUUGAAGUCAGGGGAAACCCUGAUGGAAGACCGAAACAGUUCUGACGUGCAAAUCGAUUGUCAGAAUUGAGUAUAGGGGCGAAAGACCAAUCGAACCAUCUAGUAGCUGGUUCCCUCCGAAGUUUCCCUCAGGAUAGCUGGUGCAUUUAAAAAUAAUGUAAAAUAAUCUUAUCUGGUAAAGCGAAUGAUUAGAGGCCUUAGGGUCGAAACGACCUUAACCUAUUCUCAAACUUUAAAUGGGUAAGAACCUCACCUUUCUUGGUAUGAAGGUCGUGGUUGUGAUAUAAUGUGCCCAGUGGGCCACUUUUGGUAAGCAGAACUGGCGCUGUGGGAUGAACCAAACGUAAGUGUUACGGUGCCCAAAUUAACAACUCAUACAGAUACCAUGAAAGGCGUU
rnacentral:rRNA from 1 species